GCACACAUGUGAACUUUUGAAUAUUUGGUAAACAAAAGUAGACGGUACUCGGUGUAUCCUUAUCCUUUUGCUUGCAAGUCCAAGAGGGUGCUAGAAAGUCAAGAAUCCUAAGCCAUUGAGCUCACUACCUUUCCUUUUGAAGUUCCAUAAAUGCAUGUACCCAACUAAAAUUCCUACAAUUGAAAAACAGAGAAGGAUAGAAAGAUGCCGGGUUGGGGACCGCCGCCGGGAGGGCCGCCUGGGCAUCCAGGGCUGUGUGGUUGCUGUGAUUUUCUCUGUGGUGGUAUAUGCCGGCUUGUAUCUUCAUGUUUCUAUUUCCUUUGCUGCUGCUGCAUCAUAGAGAGCUGCUGCGGACCAGUGUUUGGUGGACCGCCAGGGGGCCCUGGCGGCCCGCAUGGUGGGCCUCCUCGCUUCUAAACAGCCCAUUUUCAGUAGAGUUAUUGUACAUCCAUGGUUAAUCAUGCAUUAUCCAGACCUAAAUAAAUAAAGCAACAAAAAUAUGAUGUGUUUAUUUGUUAAUGCGGAUAUGUAAUAUAUUGUUUUCUAUAUUUAUUGAUAGUUAUAUGUUUGACGCAUUUUAUA